GUGAGCUGGUGAGCAGCUGCCGGACACUUCUCAACCUUUCAAAAGGUUAGAGGCGUUUGAGGAAACUCCGUCCACCACACAGACCGCAACGUUGCAAAGCGUAAGGCGAGAGCCUUGGCUCCAGAACAGAAACGGAACGUCCGCUUAGCCUGUGACAAUGAGGCGUGCUAAGUCGCCAAGUAUGGCUAUGGGGAAACGAUGAAACGGCUGCCCUGCGGGGUGGAAGGGCAAACAAGCGUCGAUGAAUGCUUGUGCGAGACGCAGGUAGCCCGAGAAGUCGAAUGCUGCUUAAAACAGAAGACGGGUUACAGCCAGCACAC
rnacentral:RNase_P_RNA from 1 species